rnacentral:rRNA from 1 species
GACGAACGCUGGCGGCGUGCCUAAUACGUGCAAGUAGAACGCUGAAGGAGGAGCUUGCUUCUCUGGAUGAGUUGCGAACGGGUGAGUAACGCGUAGGUAACCUGCCUGGUAGCGGGGGAUAACUAUUGGAAACGAUAGCUAAUACCGCAUAAGAGUAGAUGUUGCAUGACAUUUACUUAAAAGGUGCAAUUGCAUCACUACCAGAUGGACCUGCGUUGUAUUAGCUAGUUGGUGAGGUAACGGCUCACCAAGGCAACGAUACAUAGCCGACCUGAGAGGGUGAUCGGCCACACUGGGACUGAGACACGGCCCAGACUCCUACGGGAGGCAGCAGUAGGGAACCUUCGGCAAUGGACGGAAGUCUGACCGAGCAACGCCGCGUGAGUGAAGAAGGUUGUCGGAUCGUAAAGCUCUGUUGUAAGAGAAGAACGAGUGUGAGGGUGGAAAGUUCACACUGUGACGGUAGCUUACCAGAAAGGGACGGCUAACUACGUG